AUGGGCCCUGCCCCGGCGCCGGUCACCGUGGCGACGCAGUCCACCUCGGCGGCUCGGCCGGACGGCGAGUUCCGCCUGAGCGACUUCGACAGGCUCUCCGUCCUUGGGCGCGGGAACGGCGGCACCGUCCACAAGGUGUCGCAUCACCGCAUGUCGGCGCUGUACGCGCUCAGGAUCAUUCACCGCGGCCAUCCGGGCGCCGACGGGGAGGUGGGCGUCGUCUGCCGCAUCAACUCGCCGCACAUUGUCCGGUGCCACUCCGUCCUCCCGACGGCGUCUGGCGACUCCGCGUUACUCCUCGAGCUGAUGGACGGCGGUUCGCUCGACUUGCUCGUCCGCGCCGGCCAGGGAGGCUUCCCAGUGGAGGCGCUGGCGGAGGUGGCGGCACAGGCGCUCUCCGGCCUUGUGUACCUCCGCGCCCGCCGCGUCGUCCACCGCGACAUCAAGCCUGCGAACCUUCUAGUCAACAGUGGCGGGCAGGUCAAGAUCGCCGACUUCGGCAUAGUCGAGGUCGUCUCCCGCGCCGGCAAAUACCAUGCGGCCUACGAGGGCACCGCCGCGUACAUGAGCCCCGAGCGCUUCGACACGGAGCGGUCAUUGCAGGGCGACGGUGAAGAGAAGGGCCCCGUCGACCCCUACGCCACCGACGUGUGGGGCCUGGGGUGA
rnacentral:rRNA from 1 species